CCCGUCUCUCCUCGAACCAAACACGCGUGACGCCGCACCCAGCGGUUUCGAGCAGAAAACACAGAGAGUGGCCCCUACACACAAGAACAGAGCUACCAUGAGACGGACCAGCAUGCUCAGCGCAGGGCUGCUCAUAUCCAGACUGGGCGCAUGAGAGAAAUUCUCCUGCAGAUUUCUGUGUGGUGAAAAGAAGCGCUGAUCCAAGAAAUAGAGCUGGUUGUAAUAUUCCGUCAGCAGCUCCUGUCCCGCCUCAUUCCUGCUGGGAGUUCGCAUGGCCUAUGGAGAAAGUGGUGUGUUAAUCAGCUGUUUGAACUCUCAAUUCUGACGGCACCCAUUCGCUGCAGAGGAUCUACUGGUGAGAAAGUGAUGCAACACUACAUUUCUCCAAAUCUGAUAAAGAAACAAACUCAUCUACGUCUUAGAUGGCCCAAGGAUAAAAAUGUGAUUUUUCUGUCCUUCAAGCAAGUUGACCCAGUUAUCAGAAAGUCUAUAGACAGACUUGCGUCCCGGCAGUGUGCUUUUCUCUGGAUCUUCACUUAUCUUCAUUCUGGGACGACCUCUGACCUCUAUCAGCUACACUGGGAAACUCUUGGUACCUUAUAUACACACCCCAGAGAGGGCUGACGCGUGCACGUGACCAGAUGAGUGCCCACUCCGACAACAUCAAUCUCAUUAUCCUGACACACACACAAACAGGUGGUCUGAAGGAAGCGUCUCACUGUUUGCUACAUUCUUUAAAGAUGCGCCGCACUUCCAGCGACUGCCUGCAGAGGUCCCCGCUGUCCAGCCUGACGCCCAGCGGCCGGUACUGCAGCUCACAAAGAGCCAAAGCCACGGCACAGAAACACGGCAGGAAGUUUUGCGGGUAUGCGAUGGCGUAGGACAGGAAGGCCGCCAGUUCGCCCUCCCGAACGAGGUUCGUCUUUGACCCCAAUAGCUGACAGACACGACCCAGCCAGCCUUUCACUAAACAGAUGAAGUCAAUAGGGUCACCACCACCGCCGCAGGGCGCCAGAGUCUGCAUGACAAAUCAACACAUACGCUUUGUCAUUUGAGUUAACCAGGCAGAGCAGACUGGUCUCCAGCAGCUGAACCACAGCCAGCGGUCCGGAUACUUCCAGAAGAGGAACCUGAACACAUGAAUCACAGUCAACAAGCUCUCGCAGAAGCGGAUCAGAUUACAGCUGACCUCUGAACCGCUCACAUACUCUAGCGAACACCACCGAUCCCUCAGGUGAUCAACUGCAUUCAUACACAUGUAUAUAGCAUGGAGGAAAUGGACAUUCGGAUUUGGGAAAAAACAAGGG